UUGCUCACUUCGGCUCCACGGUAACAGAAGUACGCCGGCGAACAAGGGAGCCGACCUCUCUUCACGUCGGGUUCGGAGUUAGGGUUUUUGGUGAUCGCAAUGCACCGGCGUUGUGUAACGUUGUUUAGCUCGUUUUUAUCGGAGGCGGAUCUCGAGCGAUCGAGCUGUUUGGCCGGCGGCGGAAUGGAGACGCACAAUGUGGAGUUGAAGGUGUACGAUACGAUAACGCAGCAGAAGGAGGUGUUCAAGCCGAUCGAGCCCGGUAAAUUCGGCAUGUACGUCGAAAGUGUACAAUACGAUGACGCAGCAGCAGCAGGUUUUCUCCUUCGGCAUCCUCUCCAGGUAUGUUUGUUCUAGCUUUCCCGACUAUCUGGAUCUCCAUCAAUUUGGAUUUGAGUGCUUCUGGUGAAGUCGGUUGUUACGGUGAUUUGCAUUCGGAUUGCUAGUGGAGAAUCUUUGUUCCCUUGUGCUGCGGUUGUUGUCCUAUUUUUGUAGUUAAUUAGAACCUGAAAGAUCGCUGAUGAAAUAUUUGUGAUCAUACAUUCAAAUCGCAUUUUUUGAUUCCUGUUAUUAUACCUACUAGAAUUGAAGAAUAAAAUAGAGAUUUUGAAUUCGGUCUCUUUGGAAUUCUUGAAAAGGUAUGUCGGCUUGAUUAGCUUCCUUGCUAUUUUCUUUGUUCUUGUCCGGUCUCUCUGAAAUUCUUGAAAGAUGUGAUAUAGCAUUAGUAGGGUAAUGAAUAAGGUUAAACCAUAGAUAAGGUGUAUGAUCCCGUGUGCCAAUUUUGUCUCAGAUCAUUGAGAAAGAUUGUGGGUAUGUAGUGGAUGGAAAUGUGUGCUUCUCUGUUAAUACUUGAUAAUUCACCAAAUUGUGGCCAAUUAUCUGGACAAAAGCUUGAUCAUACCAGAACCGGUGGAUGUGUUGCUGUUGACUCAAGGAAGCGCAACCCAGCUGACUUUGCCUUAUGAAAGGUACUUAUAUCAGCUGAUCAAUGCAGGCUGCUAAACCUGGUGAGCCACAUUGGGAGAGUCCUUGGGGCCUGGAAGACCAGGGUGGCACAUAGAAUGCAGUGCAAUGAGUGCCCAUUAUCUUUCUCCAAGAUUUGACACUCAUGGUGAUGGCAUAGAUCUGAUAUUUCCUCAUCGGGCGAAGUGAGUUCGAAGCUAAAAUGUCAGAUGACUUGAAUGCAUCCCAUAUACUAACAGGUUCUUUACAAGAUGCAUCAACAGUUUUCGGGGCAAGCUCAAGAAGCAGCGGAUGCCACUGAUUAUGUACCUCACAGAGGUUGAAAAAGCAGCUAGGGAGAUGCUGGAUGUACUCGGCCUGCUGUUUAAUCUCAGAUAUGGCGAGGUAAUAAUGCCUAUGUGAGAGAGUUGUGCUGUUGACACCUUUGGUAAUGGGCUUGAGAAGUUUCUGACAGAGUUGAGGCAAAAGGCACCACUGGCAAGGGCAGGACUGGAGAAAGAAGACAUCAUGAUUGAUCGAAGAGAGGACAAGAGCUCGGAAGAAUAAGGCGUUUGAGAGAAUCGAUCAGAUCAGAGCAGAGUUGACUAUAUCAAGGGAAUAUCCCUCAUGGAUGUCGAGGGCAAAACCAUUUGGAGACCAUGUGCCCUCUCCUCCUAAACGGUUAAGCCUCAGCUGCAAUUGAGGAAGUAACUUAUGGCGUUUACUCUUAAAACCCGAAUUUUCGUAUGUAUAGGUUCGUAGACGGAAGUGAAUUCUUGGCCUGAUGGCAUGAAUCUUUAGCUCGAGUUCUAGAGUUGUAUAAAUAAAGCCAUAAGAAUAAUUGUUUCAUAUCGUGUUUCGGCUAUAGUUUGGUUUAGGUAUGUCGGUUCAGUGAAUAGAACCGGAAUAGAUAUGUUGGUUCA